rnacentral:tRNA from 1 species
GGAGGUAUAGCUCAGUGGUCGAGCGUGUGCUUGGCAUGCACGAGGUCCUGGGUUCAAUCCAGGGACCACGU